rnacentral:rRNA from 1 species
AUUGAACGCUGGCGGCAGGCCUAACACAUGCAAGUCGAGCGGAUGAAGGGAGCUUGCUCCUGGAUUCAGCGGCGGACGGGUGAGUAAUGCCUAGGAAUCUGCCUGGUAGUGGGGGAUAACGUCCGGAAACGGGCGCUAAUACCGCAUACGCCCUGAGGGAGAAAGUGGGGGAUCUUCGGACCUCACGCUAUCAGAUGAGCCUAGGUCGGAUUAGCUAGUUGGUGGGGUAAAGGCCUACCAAGGCGACGAUCCGUAACUGGUCUGAGAGGAUGAUCAGUCACACUGGAACUGAGACACGGUCCAGACUCCUACGGGAGGCAGCAGUGGGGAAUAUUGGACAAUGGGCGAAAGCCUGAUCCAGCCAUGCCGCGUGUGUGAAGAAGGUCUUCGGAUUGUAAAGCACUUUAAGUUGGGAGGAAGGGCAGUAAGUUAAUACCUUGCUGCUUUGACGUUACCAACAGAAUAAGCACCGGCUAACUUCGUG